rnacentral:rRNA from 1 species
UGGGGAAUAUUGGGCAAUGGGCGCAAGCCUGACCCAGCAACGCCGCGUGAGGGAAGAAGGUUUUCGGAUUGUAAACCUCUGUCCUUGGGGACGAAAAAAAUGACGGUACCCAAGGAGGAAGCUCCGGCUAACUACGUGCCAGCAGCCGCGGUAAUACGUAGGGAGCAAGCGUUGUCCGGAAUUACUGGGCGUAAAGGGUGCGUAGGCGGCAAGGCAAGUCAGAUGUGAAAUCCCCGGGCUUAACUCGGGGGGUGCAUUUGAAACUGCUUUGCUUGAGUGCAGGAGAGGAAAGCGGAAUUCCUAGUGUAGCGGUGAAAUGCGUAGAUAUUAGGAGGAACACCAGUGGCGAAGGCGGCUUUCUGGACUGCAACUGACGCUGAGGCACGAAAGCGUGGGGAGCAAACA